GGUCAAGUUUUUAAGAGCACACGGUGGAUGCCUUGGCAUUAGGAGCCGAAGAAGGACGUAGGAAUCUGCGAUAAGCCUGGGGGAGUCGAUAACCGGACUGUGAUCCCAGGGUGUCCGAAUGGGGAAACCCCGCCAGGGGCGCGAGCUGCCUGGUGACCCGCAUCUGAACACAUAGGGUGCGUGGAGGGAACGCGGGGAAGUGAAACAUCUCAGUACCCGCAGGAAGAGAAAACAAUAGUGAUUCCGUCAGUAGUGGCGAGCGAACGCGGAUCAGGCUAAACCGUUCCAUGUGUGAUAGCCGGCGGGCGUUGCAUGGUCGGGGUUGUGGGACUUCCCAUUCUGUCUCUGCCGGGACAGUGGGGUGUGUAGUACAGGCAUAGGUGAACGGUCUUGAAAGGCCGGCCAGAGAGGGUGUGAGCCCCGUAACCGAAAUGUUGUGUACCGCCCGGGGAGUAUCCCAAGUAGCACGGGGCCCGAGAAAUCCCGUGUGAAUCUGUCAGGACCACCUGAUAAGCCUAAAUACUCCCUAAUGACCGAUAGCGGACCAGUACCGUGAGGGAAAGGUGAAAAGUACCCCGGGAGGGGAGUGAAACAGUACCUGAAACCGUGUGCUUACAAUCCGUCGGAGCCAGUCUGAUUCUGGUGACGGCGUGCCUUUUGAAGAAUGAGCCUGCGAGUUAGUGUUACGUCGCGAGGUUAACCCGUGUGGGGAAGCCGUAGCGAAAGCGAGUCUGAAUAGGGCGUUGCAGUGGCGUGAUCUAGACCCGAAGCGAAGUGAUCUACCCAUGGCCAGGUUGAAGCGACGGUAAGACGUCGUGGAGGACCGAACCCACUUCAGUUGAAAAUGGAGGGGAUGAGCUGUGGGUAGGGGUGAAAGGCCAAUCAAACUUCGUGAUAGCUGGUUCUCCCCGAAAUGCAUUUAGGUGCAGCGUUGCGUGUUUCUUACCGGAGGUAGAGCUACUGGAUGGCUAAUGGGCCCUACAAGGUUACUGACGUCAGCCAAACUCCGAAUGCCGGUAAGUGAGAGCGCAGCAGUGAGACUGUGGGGGAUAAGCUUCAUAGUCGAGAGGGAAACAGCCCAGACCACCAACUAAGGCCCCUAAGCGUGUGCUAAGUGGGAAAGGAUGUGGAGUUGCGAAGACAACCAGGAGGUUGGCUUAGAAGCAGCCAUCCUUAAAAGAGUGCGUAAUAGCUCACUGGUCAAGUGAUUCCGCGCCGACAAUGUAGCGGGGCUCAAGUACACCGCCGAAGUUGUGGAUUUCAGAUAUUAGCUAAGCCGCCCCUUGUGGGUUGGUUCAGGCGUCUGGAGUGGUAGGGGAGCGUCGUGUGGGCAGUGAAGUCGCGGUGUAAACCAGCGGUGGAGCCUACACGAGUGAGAAUGCAGGCAUGAGUAGCGAAAGACGGGUGAGAAACCCGUCCGCCGAAUGAUCAAGGGUUCCAGGGUCAAGCUAAUCUGCCCUGGGUAAGUCGGGACCUAAGGCGAGGCCGACAGGCGUAGUCGAUGGACAACGGGUUGAUAUUCCCGUACCGGCGAAAAACCGCCCAUGCUGAACAGGGGAUACUAACCGCCCAAUACCUGCC
rnacentral:rRNA from 1 species